rnacentral:misc_RNA from 1 species
ACAAACUUGGUCAUUUAGAGGAAGUAAAAGUCGUAACAAGGUUUCCGUAGGUGAACCUGCGGAAGGAUCAUUAACAAUUGUCCACGAUAAUGGAUAAUUUAUCCAUAUCCACCUUGUGUGAAUUAUUGACGUGUUUAUUGGCAGGUUGUCUGAAAAGAUGUGAGUAGUUCGCUGCUCGGCCUGCCAAUUUUAUUUUGUAUAAACCUGGCUAAAUUUUAUUUGUCUGAAAUAUAUUAUUUAUAAUAAUAAAUACAACUUUCAACAACGGAUCUCUUGGCUCUCGCAUCGAUGAAGAACGCAGC